rfam:Arthrobacter sp. SRS-W-1-2016 contig54598, whole genome shotgun sequence.
AUACGUGCUCCGGGGUCGGUGUAAUUCCGAACCGGCGGUUAUAGUCCGCGACCCGCGAGCCAUCGCGUUUCCCUCACGGGAUUCUCGACGGCGGACGGUUGAACUGGUGGAACUCCAGUACCGACAGUUAAAGUCUGGAUGGGAGAAGCACGUAC